rnacentral:rRNA from 1 species
GAUGAACGCUAGCUACAGGCUUAACACAUGCAAGUCGAGGGGCAGCAUUAUCGAAGCUUGCUUUGGUAGAUGGCGACCGGCGCACGGGUGAGUAACGCGUGGGUAACCUACCUUGUACAGGGGGACAACAGUUGGAAACGACUGCUAAUACCGCAUAAGCGCACAGCAUCGCAUGAUGCAGUGUGAAAAGUUUUUUCGGUACAAGAUGGACCCGCGUCUGAUUAGCUAGUUGGUGAGGUAACGGCCCACCAAGGCGACGAUCAGUAGCCGACCUGAGAGGGUGACCGGCCACAUUGGGACUGAGACACGGCCCAAACUCC